CAGACAGGGUUCAGAUGAGGCAGCGUUAGUGUAACUGGUUUCCCAUAAGGGAUAGUUACAUUAUUUCAUGGAGCAUAACUGUGAAAACAAAUAUCCAGUCUAACCAGUUUGAGGCUCGGCAUUCAUGUUGGUGCAACUACACACACACACACACCAUCCCCACUAAGUGCAGCCCGUAUGCAUUGAGAAAACAGAGCCUUUGAACUGGCUCCAGCAGUGAAUAAAAAGGGGGUUCAGGUGAGAAAGGAAAGCUUCUCUGACCGGACUCUACUUCACAACCUGAGCUGACUCUCUGGAUCAGGUGAAACACGUCAUUUUCCUACUGCUCCUUUUGGUGUGGAAGAGGGAUUACCAAGUAAAGAUUGUAGGACGUUUUUUUUGCUGAGCUUUUACGCUACAGGAAAUGUCAGGAAAGAUGUGCAGCAGCAGCAACAGUGUUGUUCAGGCACAAAAACUGGUGGAUCAACUUCGGAUAGAGGCAGGCAUGGAGAGAAUCAAGCAGAUCUCCCUGACUGCAUCAGACUUGGUUCGGUACUGCCAGGACCACAGGCGCAGUGACCCCCUACUCACCGGCAUUGCUGCCUCAUCCAAUCCUUUCAAAGACAAGAAGACCUGUGUGCUGCUUUGACAUUCCUCAGCAC